rnacentral:rRNA from 1 species
GACGAACGCUGGCGGCGUGCCUAAUACAUGCAAGUCGAACGCAGUGGGGACGGGUGAGUAACACGUGGGUAACCUCCCAUCAGAGGGGAUAACACUUGGAAACAGGUGCUAAACCGAUACUGAUGGAUGGACCCGCGGUGCAUUAGCUAGUUGGUGAGGUAACGGCUCACCAAGGCCACGAUGCAUAGCCGACCGGAGAGGGGUAUCGGCAAGACUGGGACUGAGACAAGGCCCAGACCCCUACGGGAGGAAGCAGUAGGGCAUCUGCGGCAAUGGACGAAAGUCAGACCGCGCAACGCCGCGUGAGUGAAGAAGGUUUUCGGAUCGUAAAACUCUGUUGUUAGAGAAGCGGUAUCUAACCAGAAAGCCACGGCUAACUACGUGCCAGCCGCCGCGGUAAUUC